rnacentral:rRNA from 1 species
AGAGAACGCUGGCGGUAGGCCUAACACAUGCAAGUCGAACGGCAGCACAGUAAGAGCUUGCUCUUCCGGGUGGCGAGUGGCGGACGGGUGAGGAAUAUAUCGGAAUCUACUCUUUCGUGGGGGUUAACGUAGGGAAACUUAAGCUAAUACCGCAUACGACCUACGGGUGAAAGCAGGGGAUAUUCGGACCUUGCGCGAUUGAAUGAGCCGCUGUUGGAUUUGCUAGUUGGGGGGGUAAAGGCCCACCAAGUGGGCGAUCGGCGUCUGGACUGAGAGGAGGGUAGGCCACACUGGAACGUGACCGCCGUCCAGAGGCCUACGGUAGGCACCAGUGUGGAAUAGGGGACAAUGGGGGCAAGCCUUAUCCAGCCAUACCGCGUGGGUGAAAAAGGCCUUCGGGUUGUAAAGCCCUUUUGUGGGGAGAGAAAAGCAUCAGGUUAAUACCCCGCUGUUCUGACGGUACCCAAAGAAUAAGCACCGGCUAACUUCGUG